GGUCUAAUAGUGUAGAGGUCAUCACACGGGAUUUUGAUUACAUUCUCUUUCUUCUUCCCGUAACCCAGGUUCGAGUCCUGGUUAGACCU
rfam:Lentinula edodes NBRC 111202 DNA, contig: scaffold196.